CACCGCCCGUCACACCAUGGAAGCCAGCUGUACCGGAAGUCGGUGCGUUAACCCGCAAGGGAGACAGCCGCCUAUGGUAUGACUGGUGACUGGGGUGAAGUCGUAAACAAGGUACC
rnacentral:rRNA from 1 species